CGUAUCACUUAAAGCGAUUCAGCGGGUUACGAUUGACGGAGCGAAGCGACGUCAAAGCGUAUAUAAAGUCGAGUCGGUUUAAGGAUACGUUCGUUGGGUAGGGGAGCGUUCUGUAAGCCUGUGAAGGUGGCCUGUGAGGGUUGCUGGAGGUAUCAGAAGUGCGAAUGCUGACAUAAGUAACGAUAAAGCGGGUGAAAAGCCCGCUCGCCGGAAGACCAAGGGUUCCUGUCCAACGUUAAUCGGGGCAGGGUGAGUCGACCCCUAAGGCGAGGCCGAAAGGCGUAGUCGAUGGGAAACGGGUUAAUAUUCCCGUACUUGGUGUUACUGCGAAGGGGGGACGGAGAAGGCUAUGUUGGCCGGGCGACGGUUGUCCCGGUUUAAGCGUGUAGGUGUGUGUUCCAGGUAAAUCCGGUU
rnacentral:rRNA from 1 species